CUCAUAUUUUUUGUUUCUUUUCGUUUUUGUGUAUAUAUUUUGACAAGUGUGUGUUUAUUGUUAUUGUUCUUGUACAUUUUUCCCUCAACGAAAUGAAGAGAUUUUCACAAGUUUUUCUAACGGUUGCGUUAUAUAACAAUUAGGCUAUGUAAACCAAAGAAAUCUCAACCUCAAUUAGCGUCUCUUAGUUUGCCCAAGCAAUUUAAUCAGACAGUCCCAAAGGCUGCUACAGAUUCCACGUUUGAAGUUCCAAAUACAAAGUUCUUCUAUUCAUAAUAAUAAUAACAAUUUAUAGUCUGCCCCGCAUUCGCCAUGCACUCUAAUUACGCGGUAUUUCUCAAAGAUAUCUGCCAGAUACGGAGCAAUUGCUCAUUUAAUUUGUUAAUUAUUUUGGGCAUUGUGUUGUCUUGUGGUUAUCGAAAUAUUCGAGCAACAAAGCUUUGCGUGGGUCAAUGUCAAACAGAUGCCGCCAACUGUAACCUAUCGCACCUGUUCUAUUCUAUUCUAUUCUGUAGCAUAAUUGCCACACUUUGUGGCAUGUAAUCAUUUAAUUGUGCUAAUCAAAUUUUGUUCUAUUUUCUAUGGUCUUUUGAUUGCCGCAUUUAGCGGCAGGCAAGUGAAAUUAAAUCGUCAGACAGAAAUGAUUAAAUUGUAUAGACAAUCAAAACUUAUCUUUGUUUAAAUUAUCAAAUAAACCCAAAAAUAUUGAAGGUAUAACUUUUGAAAUUCUACAAGUAUUAAUGUCUAAAUCUAUAAAUUAAUAAAUUGCGGAAGUAUUUUGCACACUACGUUAAAGUAUUCAAUUUCCAUUUAAAUUAGUAUUCAAGAACGAAUGGCGUGCCAAGCGACAUGAGUACAACAUCUAUCUAAACGGAAUCUCUUGCUCCAAAUUCAGAUUCAGUUUGAGAUUCAAAAAACAAAAAUUAAGUUUAGUCACAUUCUAAAAGACACUCGGAGGUAUAAUUACCGCGAAGCAGUGCACGUGAUUAAGACCCAACAAUGCCAAGAAUAGAGACAAGACAAGAAAGGAAUGGAUGCGGGGGUAAAGCGAAAGAAUCUCGGUGAAAUUCCCAGGAAGGCAAGAAAAACAUAAACAAAAAUCUCGCACAAACAAAGUGAAAAGAUAAAGUCAUAAAUAAAAUUGGAAGUGUGACCGUGUUGGCCAGACAGAGAGACAGAGAAAGAUGGAGCCAGAACCAAUUCAUUCUCAUAGUGCAGCACGCAUCCUUUUUUGAGUGAAAUGGCCCGAAAUGCUCUGAAAUGGGUUUUAGAGCCAAGCCAGAGGAAGCAUUUGAUUAUUUUUUACGGCUCGUUGGGGCGGCCGCACGCUUGCAAUUACAGGAAAUAAUUCGGUCAACAGAGAGAGAGAGAGUUGGGAAGGGAAGAGAAAUAUAUAUAUAUAGGGAACGUUGGUAUAUUAAGAAUAAAACGUCCGUUGUCUGAUAAGACUGUGGAGAUAAGAGCUGAGCAAAGUGAAAAGAUACACAGCAGCCACCUCACAGAUAGCACAAUUGCGAUAGUGUGCGAGAUGUGACCGGGUUCGGGUCACGUAUGAUGAUGCGUGGAUAAAACUGACUCAACUCGGGACAAAAGUGGAGAACGUCCAAGCGUGAAUGUCACGUAGCGAGAGUUGUGCAAUGCGCCCAGUGUAAAUAAAUAAAAAAAAUACUAAAGAAAAGAGAACACAGGAGAGAGGAAGAGGGAGAGAGUUAACCUGGACAUUCACACGGCCAAAUAUAUAUCAACGAUAAUUUAUGUGCGUGCUGACAUGCGGGACCCCUUUCCUGGGGUCGAGCUCAGUCUCCGCCUUACCAACUCCCCAGUUUGUGUUCGCCAGUUGCCCAUCGAACGUUGCCCCUUGCCCGUUGCCCGUUGUCUGUUGCCGGUUUUCUCCUACCUGACGCUACAUGGCAGUAGCUUGUAUGCUUUGUUAACAAUUUAAUGGCAUAAACAUUAUGAUUUCUGUUAUUUCAAUAAAAGACAGACACAUGCGACAGCCGCAGCGACAUCGACAACAUGGCAGU